rnacentral:lncRNA from 1 species
AGAUUCUUUGAACUUGGAGUCAAACCUGAGGCUCUGACCCCUUGUAGCCGCUGGCCCUCCCUUGACCCCUUUGGAUGAGUGAGGGGGCUCAGCUGGACCCUAUGACCUUGCUUCACAUUGGAGCAUGGAGUUUUCCAAGGAUCUGUCACUAGUGUGCCGUCUGAACAGACAUCGCUGCUGACACCUAAAACCUCUUCUAAGAAACACUCCAAUUAUUCAGAUAAUUGCUUGUGCCUAAGACUGUAUAACCUAAGAGUCGGGUGCAGGCUUGAUAAAGAAUUGGAAGCCCUCUGCAAAACUGCUACAGGUGUUCUGUGUUCCGACGCCCUCCAUCACCUUGGACAGGGGUUCUUCUUCCGGCCCAGUCUCUCCCAUUUCCUCUUUUCUCCCUCCAUCUCCUCCCAUUUGCUUGGCCAGAGCAGAGGCUCGGCUGGUCUAGUUCAGGUAGGAUGGCCAGCAUCCAGUCACUGCCAUAUUCAACAAGGACUUGAGAGCUUCUAGAGAGAGAAAUGCAAGUCAAACCAGCCUGGGCUUUUAAAAGGGGGCUUUGUGUGACCCUGGACACCUGCAACUGGGAGCCAACACUGCCACGUGCUCUCUCUUUUCUCACGCCUCAACUUCCUCUGAAUACUGAUCUAAAUCUCUUUGCUAAGCUUCCUCUCUAUGGCAGGUAAUGUGCACGAUGGCAGCUUUUGCUUAUUGUACCUCAUGACUUCACUGCCAGAAAGGGACAGAGAGGGGCCUUCACGGCCUUCACUGGGGCCAGGUGACCAUCAUUGGCUCAAACACUGCGGCUUGGGAAGAGCUGAACUGAUGCCUGCUCACAUCUGGACUCUGAUUUGUGCUAGGGAGGGGGUACUUUCCAGAAGAAGGGGCCCCUGUCCUGGAAGACAUACAAUGGAGCCCACCACCGUGGUGCUGAGAGCUAUUCCCAAGUCCUAGGGCGCAGUGGGCCCUCCUCCUUCGCCUCUGCUUCCCCUGCCUGGCAGUGAGGGGCAUGGCCUGGGGGAGGGGUGACAUCUGUCCACAGAGCCCAUUGUUUUUUGGCUUGAAAAUCCAUAGGAAAAUGGGGGUUUUUCUCAGCUCCCUUUUUUUGGAGUGGGGGCAGCAGCCGUGUGAUUUUCUGAGUGGAAUGCCUUGGAGGAUCUAAGCGGUGAGUGAAGGAAGAACAAAAGAACCAUUCUCAGAAGCAUGGCAAAAAUGAAACCAAAUAAAAACCCCAUAAAAAUCCCUACCGGGGCAGAGGAAAUACCAAGCCAGUGCUUUUGGAGUGCAGAUUCUGUAAUAAAGGAAAGAUUCAUGGAUACGCUGUGCAACUUGCUUAUGUUUGGACUGGAGGGAGAAUGUGCAGGAACAUGAUAUAAAAGAGUCAUCCAAGAAAGGGAGGCAUCGCUGUGUGCAUUUGUGUUGUGUGUUGUUGCAAUUCAGGAGUGGACUAAGGACUGGGGUUCAUGGGGAGCCUGAAAGAGACACUGGACUGGUUCAAAGUUUGUGCACAGCUGCGGAGAUCAGAUGACUGUCAGCUGGGCCUGCCCCCUGCUGCCUCUGCUUGAUUGCAGGAGGAACUCUGACCUUGAUUUAGUCACCAAAACACCCAUCUGGAAAGCUCUUUGAAGAUUGAUUAAGUAAACACUCACAGCACAGACAAUCAUAAUUGAGUGACGUAGCUGAAUUAUCUGCAGUGCGUGGAAGAAUGCACUGAUGAGAAAGCUCAGGGGCAUGUUCCCUCUCUGUUCCUCUAAUUUGGCUUCCUUACUUAGGGGUACAGUUUCGGGCACCGGGAGUGUUUUGAGGGGAUGGCGUGGAGGAUGUGGAGACUUUCACUCUCAUUUGGCAGGGUGACACUAUCCCAGGCAUAGAACACCACCCGUCACCGCACUGCAGCUGGUGUGGCCUGUGGCAGGUAGCGCUGUCCGCACAGCUGACCUGAGAUGCUGCCUGUAGGGGGUUUCAGUUCUGCUUUGUGACUGUGGGCUGCUGUGAGCCCACUUUGGGAAAGGGCUCACAGAUGGGGAAGGCCUGGAUUUCAUCUGGGAGUGCCUCACCUCUCUGCACGGUGGUUCUGCUCUAGGAAAGAGCUGGUGGGCCUCUGUGGGCAUGAAGCAGUGGCCACGUUAGUUCCCUAAUGAUCUCUGCAGCUCCGUGGGAGAUAGAGAUGGGAAUAGGCUGUCAGCUCUGGACUCGGCUUCUGGACUUGGUAUGCCUGGAGUUUGUUGAGUCCUCUGGAUUCGGGGAGCAGUUUUGAUGUUCAUUCAAUUCAUUCAUGAUUGAUCCAUCCACCUAUUCACUCACUCACCAGGGCUAUCAUUUCAUCAUUCAAUCACGUUGAGAUAAUGUCUCUCCCACUUUUUCUCUCUCCUGCCUGGCACAGUGCCAAGCUUCUGCCAGGGCUCUGCACAUUUGUUUACAUCUCUUCCUGCUCUGCUUUUGUUGUGGUUGAAUAUCUAACCCCCAGGACCUCAGAAUGUGACCUUAUUUGGUGAUAAGGUCUUUAUUUAUUUAUUUACUUAAUUUUUGAUACAGAGCCUCGCUCUGUUAUCCAGGCUGGAGUGCAGUGGCGUGAUCUCAGCUUACUGCAACCUCUGCCUCCCGGGUUCAAGCGUUCAAGUGAUUCUCCUACCUCAGCCUCCCAAGUAGCUGGGAUUACAGGUACAUACCACCACGCCGGGCUAAUUUUUGUAUUUUUAGUAGAGACUGAGUUUCAUCAUGUUGGUCAGUCUGGUCUCGAACUCCUGACCUCAGGUGAUCACUUCAGUGAUCCCAAACUGCUGGAAUUAUAGGUGUGGGCCACUGUGCCUGGCCAAGUGUGAGGGUCUUUAAAGAGGUGAUUAAGUACAAAUGAGGUCACGAAGAUGGGCCCUAAUCCAAUAUGACUGGUGUUCUUCUAAGAAGAGGAGAUGAGGACAUAGACACACACAGAGGGAAGCCCAUCUGAGGACAUGGGGUGAAGAUGGCCAUUUCCAAGCCAAAGAGAGGCCUCAGAAGAAACCAACCCCGCCGGCACCUACACCUCACACUUCCAGCCUCCAGACCGUGAAGAAGUAAAGUUCUGUUGUUUAAGCCAGUCUGUGGUACUUUGUUAUGACAGCCCGGGAAAAUGAAUACAGCCUCUCAACACGUUCACUGAGCAUAUAGCCAUCUGCAAGUUAUUCUAGAUGAUCUACAGAUGAAAGUAGAGAAGUACAGGAAAAGAGGAACGGGAACGAGCUCAUCUUUUCUUCUUCAUUUUCUCCUCCCAAACCCUCCCUACUCAGCCUCUCCUUACCUCUACCCUCAGCAGAAAGCAGAAACUUAGGGGGAAAUGAAACAGAGUGCUCUCCAGCAGAUGCCGCCCUACGGAAGCUCUGGAAUAGAAUGGAGACCCUUCAGUAUAGAAUCAGAAGCAUCAUUUUCUUUUGGCUGUCCCCCACUCUCCAAGUUUGUUUUUAGCUCACGUGUAUACACACUCACGGCCAGAACACACACAUGGCCUGACGAAGCAGCCGCAUGUGUGCAUCUCAGAAAGACUGGGAACAGGGACCCCAGCUGUUGUGGACACGCUGUGACUGUGUGGCUGGCAGUGUGUUUGCCAGUGUUUGCCAGUCCCAGCUUUAUGGGGCAUGGUGGCUGGAAAAGGCUGCAAUAAAAUGAUUCUCUGGGGCACGAAUUAUGUCACUUUUUGUCCUUUGUGUGCAAAAAUGAUGGCAAUGUUGUGUUUCCACACAAUUGCUACAGGACUGUCCUUUGAUUUAUGGCCCUGGAGGAUGGCUGUGUGCUCUGAUCUCUUUAUCUGCAGGAAUCACCAGCUCAUUUCAUUCUGAAAUCAUCUUGGGAUCUCUGGAAACACCCCCCAGUCUUCAAACCUGCUGCGCCUAUUAACAAGCCAAGCCCAUUUAAAACAGGCUCAGUAUGGAAGACUCAAUAUUCCUCGUUCUUCUACAGUAUCUACCAUUUUGGAUCAAAGACAUUUUUCACCACUCAACACAAUAAUAAUCCUGUCCCAUUGGUCGUUUUGCAAUCCUGGCUUAGUUCGCUGAUUUUAAAGGGAACUGGGAUUCCAAGAGCUCAGUGUUGACCAACGGGUCCCGUGUUGCAUAGUACUGGGUCCCCAGAGGACUUUGGCCAAGAUGUGACUGCCAAUGUGGCUGCAAUCAGCUUCUUUGUGCAUGCUGGGGAGUGAAAUUUGCACAUCACAUUCACUUUUCCCUCAUAUCCAUAGUGGUGUUUCUGAAGUCUCGUGGCAUUUCUUCAUUUAACGUUGAUGUUAAAACAAGCUUCCCUUUCUUUUCUAUGUCUAUUCCAGUGAUGUUCUGAGGGCCAGCCCAGCAAGAGUGUCCCAAAGCCUGGGUAUGCUCAGCUUCUCCUGCCCCACUUCCUCCUGCAGUGCCUUCCUUUCCUGGCCUCCAUUUCUGCCCCUCGGCCCUGCCUUCUUCCUCUUGCUCCCUGCUUACUCCCAAGCAGAAUCCUCUUAUUUGAUGGGACCUAGGGUGUGCCCUACUCCUGAGGUUAGCUGCGUUUUAGAUGAGUGCCUCCUGAAUAUCCUAAGCUUUCAAAAUCCAAAGAAAUUAUCUCCCAAUGCUUGAACGGAGCCAAGGUUUUCUACCUGGACUGGUUGGGCAGACAGGUCUACUCUGCUUACUUACAUAACCAGGCAAGGUGAUCUGCUGGGUUCUAAGCUGCACCCCUUCCUCGGUGUGUGUCUGUCUGCAUGUUUGGCUGAUGCGCAGACGCCUUCUCAGGUAGGUCUGGGGUGAUGCAGGCUCCUAUCACUCAAGGGUAUGAAUCUUGCUGCAAAUGGAGACUGAUGUGGGCUCAUGGUGCCAUCUCACUGCCACCUUCCCCUAGCCCCAGAGCUAUAUUUACUAGUUAGCCAAUAAAAACAAACAAAUACUACAGGUCUACACGCGUUCAAACCCUUGCUCUCUUCUACGCUUUCAUUUCAUAAAUGUUGGUACAUCCAGAGAACGGAACUGAGCCCACAGCCAUGUACAAGCUUUUCAGUGACCUGAUCACUUCCAAUCUGCUCUAGCCAAUGAGGAUUCAGAGCAGUGACCCUUAGAUAAAAGGCUUCAUUUGGCAUGAGUCAUCCGUGGAGACAUCCAGCCCACUUGGUCUGUGUUAAGUGCCUGGUUCCUGUAAAUAUUGACAGUUAGAAACCAUCCCAAGAGCUACCAUGCAGUGAACUGGAAGGUAAUCUACACGAACAUGACCACUGAUUAGGCAAUGCUCAUUGUUUGCUAAGAUUCAGCCACUGAUAAAUAUCACCCCAUUAUCUCUCUUCCCAAUAGCGGCUCAUUUACUUGUGUGUGACUCAUAGUUGGUAUUUUAUGGGGUCUGAUUCAGCAAGGAAAGUUUGCUGCAACAAAGAAUGACCUCCAAGGCCACUUCAACUUCUAGAAUACUGGCUUCUCAACAAGAGUGGCCUGGAAAAGCUAAAGGGGGAGUCUUUAUCAUCAAGGAACUAAAGGGGGUAUGGAGGGAUAUAGAGCAAAAGAGUGUUUGUCACCAGUCAAAGCCGAUGUGUUAAAACCCACUUAUCCCCAUAGCCACACUUCCAUUACAGUUUAUCUAUGGAUGCCAGUGACCUGCAAGAGGCUCCUUCUCCUUGUUCAAGUCACUUUGGGCUUGUUAGCUCUAUCUCGAAGAAGGGGCAAGGAUAAACCUCUACCCAUGCAGAAGCUGAUUUUACCUUUUGCUCUUCCUUUCUGACUGCUUAAAAUAAAUGUAUCAUUACCUGAAUGUCUA